rnacentral:rRNA from 1 species
UAGGGAAUCUUCCGCAAUGGACGCAAGUCUGACGGAGCAACGCCGCGUGAGUGAAGAAGGAUUUCGGUUCGUAAAACUCUGUUGUUAGAGAAGAACAGCGCAUAGAGUAACUGUUAUGCGUGUGACGGUAUCUAACCAGAAAGCCACGGCUAACUACGUGCCAGCAGCCGCGGUAAUACGUAGGUGGCAAGCGUUGUCCGGAUUUAUUGGGCGUAAAGCGAGCGCAGGCGGUCAAUUAAGUCUGAUGUGAAAGCCCCCGGCUCAACCGGGGAGGGUCAUUGGAAAGUGGUUGAGUUGAGUGCAGAAGAGGAGAGUGGAAUUCCAUGUGUAGCGGUGAAAUGCGUGGAUAUAUGGAGGAACACCAGUGGCGAAGGCGGCUCUCUGGUCUGUAACUGACGCUGAGGUUCGAAAGCGUGGGUAGCAAACAGG